AUCUUCAGGUGUCUUAUGGAUCAACAUAUGGACCAGAAACUGAGCAGUAAUGCACAAGAUUACAGGGGAGUCUUAACAACUUAAUAACCAACAAACUGGCAACACCCAGCAAAAUAAAGUCUGGUUCAGUGGUUCUUCUCAUGCUCCUCCUUCAGGAUGUCUCAGUCAAAGAGCUGAACCAAGCUGAGCCUGCCUCUGUGUCAAAGUUGGUAUGCUACUUUGAACUCUUUCCUUCUGUGAGAAGGAAUUCUAUGCUAAAAGACUCCUCUGGCUUUUUAUGAGAGUAAUCAUCCUUUUAGGUUUUUGUGUGUUGUAUUGUGACCUGGAUGUAAAGCUGUCCUUGGAACUAAAGACAUUAUCAAAGUAACUCACCUGUGAGUAUCCCAGAAAUGGCAGGUAUCCAGUGGGUUCCUGACACCUUCAAGCAAUACCUUCUCUUCCAUCAAAUAUAUCCCUAUUUUAAUGACUUCUGACAAUGGACUCUUUCAGAACCGCUUUCCCAGUGGGUAGAAAUACGUUUGUUUUUUUUAAAGUGUUAGGUUAUCAGCUGAGCCAAGAUGUUCUCUGGCCACGUCUAACUAUAUCCACAGAUAGACCCUGACCAAAAAUUUGCUUCAAGCCACAAGUCAGAGGCUUAACCGUUGUUUGUGUCAAGUUACUUUACAGCUUGUGAUUUCGGUUAGUUGAGUGGGAAUGUGGCUGUGAAGCAGGGUUCUUUGUUCCAGGCACAGCCCCUGCUUUAGCCAGCUUAUAGAGUCAUACGUAAAGUGGCCUCUUUGCUUUCACUUCACAGGAUGUCAUUCAGGUUUCUGCUCUGCUGAGCACCAUUUCAUGACUUCACAGCCCAGGAAUUAAACCCAAUACACAAAGCAGUUUUACCAGUAAUUGUCUGUAGAUUAAAUUAAAUGCUUGUUCUCAUACAGUGUAUCUGAAUUGUAUCAGACCCACUUCUCAGUUUACACACUUGUUCCUGUCAGUAAAAGGCAGCUACUGAAAAAUGUUGCAGUCUUUGGGAGUCUGUCAGUGAUUCAAUGGAAGUACUGGGGAUUUUGUGUGUUCAGCACAAUGUUAAUUCUAUUGUGUUUCAGAAUGAAAAAAAAUAGCUUACUAUUUCACUAGUAUAACACCAAAGUAGUUUAUUGAGGGUAGUUACUGCCACCAGCUUUGUUUUAUGUUACAACUUCUAAAUCCCCACUGUGACAGUGUUUG